rnacentral:rRNA from 1 species
AACACAUGCAAGUCGAGGGGCAGCAUGGUCUUAGCUUGCUAAGGCCGAUGGCGACCGGCGCACGGGUGAGUAACACGUAUCCAACCUGCCGUCUACUCUUGGACAGCCUUCUGAAAGGAAGAUUAAUACAAGAUGGCAUCAUGAGUCCGCAUGUUCACAUGAUUAAAGGUAUUCCGGUAGACGAUGGGGAUGCGUUCCAUUAGAUAGUAGGCGGGGUAACGGCCCACCUAGUCUUCGAUGGAUAGGGGUUCUGAGAGGAAGGUCCCCCACAUUGGAACUGAGACACGGUCCAAACUCCUACGGGAGGCAGCAGUGAGGAAUAUUGGUCAAUGGGCGAGAGCCUGAACCAGCCAAGUAGCGUGAAGGAUGACUGCCCUAUGGGUUGUAAACUUCUUUUAUAAAGGAAUAAAGUCGGGUAUGGAUACCCGUUUGCAUGUACUUUAUGAAUAAGGAUCGGCUAACUCCGUGCCAGCAGCCGCGGUAAUACGGAGGAUCCGAGCGUUAUCCGGAUUUAUUGGGUUUAAAGGGAGCGUACAUGGAUGUUUAAGUCAGUUGUGAAAGUUUGCGGCUCAACCGUAAAAUUGCAGUUGAUACUGGAUAUCUUGAGUGCAGUUGAGGCAGGCGGAAUUCGUGGUGUAGCGGUGAAAUGCUUAGAUAUCACGAAGAACUCCGAUUGCGAAGGCAGCCUGCUAAGCUGCAACUGACAUUGAGGCUCGAAAGUGUGGGUAUCAAACAGGAUUAGAUACCCUGGUAGUCCACACGGUAAACGAUGAAUACUCGCUGUUUGCGAUAUACUGCAAGCGGCCAAGCGAAAGCGUUAAGUAUUCCACCUGGGGAGUACGCCGGCAACGGUGAAACUCAAAGGAAUUGACGGGGGCCCGCACAAGCGGAGGAACAUGUGGUUUAAUUCGAUGAUACGCGAGGAACCUUACCCGGGCUUAAAUUGCAGAUGAAUUACGGUGAAAGCCGUAAGCCGCAAGGCAUCUGUGAAGGUGCUGCAUGGUUGUCGUCAGCUCGUGCCGUGAGGUGUCGGCUUAAGUGCCAUAACGAGCGCAACCCUUGUUGUCAGUUACUAACAGGUUCCGCUGAGGACUCUGACAAGACUGCCAUCGUAAGAUGUGAGGAAGGUGGGGAUGACGUCAAAUCAGCACGGCCCUUACGUCCGGGGCUACACACGUGUUACAAUGGGGGGUACAGAGGGCCGCUACCACGCGAGUGGAUGCCAAUCCCCAAAACCUCUCUCAGUUCGGACUGGAGUCUGCAACCCGACUCCACGAAGCUGGAUUCGCUAGUAAUCGCGCAUCAGCCACGGCGCGGUGAAUACGUUCCCGGGCCUUGUACACACCGCCCGUCAAGCCAUGGGAGCCGGGGGUACGUGAAGUGCGUAACCGCGAGGAGCGCCCUAGGGUA